UACGAAGGGGGCUAGCGUUGCUCGGAUUGACUGGGCGUAAAGGGCGCGUAGGCGGAUAGUACAGCCAGGCGUGAAAUUCCUGGGCUCAACCUGGGGGCUGCGUUUGAUACGUAUUGUCUGGAGUUCGGAAGAGGGUCGUGGAAUUCCCAGUGUAGAGGUGAAAUUCGUAGAUAUUGGGAAGAACACCGGUGGCGAAGGCGGCGACCUGGUCCGAUACUGACGCUGAGGCGCGAAAGCGUGGGGAGCAAACAGG
rnacentral:rRNA from 1 species